UAAUAAGCGGAGGAAAAGAAACUAACAAGGAUUCCCGUAGUAAUGGCGAAUGAACUGGGAAAGGCUCAAAUUUAAAAUCACUCUGUGAAUUGUAGUUUAAAGGAAAUUAGUCUCACAGCAAUCGCUAGUUAAGUAUUCUGGAAUGGAUCGUCAAGGAGGGUGAAAUUCCCGUAUACACUAGAUAGAAAGCUGCAAAGAACUAUUAUCCUAUGAGUCGUGUUGCUUGUUAAUGCAGCAUUAAUUGGGAGGUAAAUUCCUUCUAAGGCUAAAUAUAAGAGAGAGACCGAUAGCAAACAAGUACCGUGAGGGAAAGAUGAAAGAGAACCCUGAAAAGGGGACUCAAAAGAAUGUGAAAUUGUCAAAAGGUAAGCGCUAAGAAUUGUUCGGAAUCCCAAAUAUAAUUUUUCAGGGUUUACUCUGUAGUUUAAUUUGGGGUGGCUAUAGCUUUUGUUUUGACUAUCAAGAAUUUUGGGAUAGAGAUUGUAGGCCUCGGCUUACCUUUUCUUGAACUUGACAAUUGACUGUUGGAGCAGGAGUAAAAGUCUCGCAAAGGUGUUGAUGGAGGGCACUUUCUCUUAUAGGCUUGCCUAGAGGAGUCAGGAACUUUAUCUUCUUUUUAUGAGUUCUUAUAGUUAGAAGGUUCUAAGCGUCCCGU
rnacentral:rRNA from 1 species